rnacentral:rRNA from 1 species
AGAGUUUGAUCCUGGCUCAGGACGAACGCUGGCGGCGUGGAUUAGGCAUGCAAGUCGACGCGAAAAGAGGGGGCACCCCUCGAGUAGAGUGGCGAACGGGUGAGUAACACGUGAAGAACCUGCCUUCGAGAGGGGGAUAACACUCCUAAAGGGGUGCUAAUACCGCAUGAGACCACGGGUCCACAUGAACCUGAGGUCAAAGGUGGCCUCUGCUUGCAAGCUACCGCUCGAAGAUGGCUUCGCGUCCCAUUAGCUAGUUGGCGGUGUAAUGGACCACCAAGGCGACGAUGGGUAGCUGGUCUGAGAGGAUGGUCAGCCACACUGGGACUGAGAUACGGCCCAGACUCCUACGGGAGGCAGCAGUCGAGAGGCUUUGGCAAUGGGGGAAACCCUGACCAAGCGACGCCGCGUGGAGGAUGAAGGCCCUUGGGUUGUAAACUCCUUUUGUCGGGGAAGAAACACGAUCAGGUUAAUAAUCUGGUCGCUUGACGGUACCCGGCGAAUAAGCUCCGGCUAACUCCGUGCCAGCAGCCGCGGUAACACGGGGGGAGCAAGCGUUGUUCGGAAUCACUGGGCGUAAAGGGCGUGUAGGCGGUCAGGUAAGUGGAAUGUGAAAUCCCUCGGCUCACCCGAGGACCUGCAUCCCAAACUGCCUGGCUUGAGUAUGGGAGAGGAUGAGGGAAUUCCUGGUGUAGCGGUGAAAUGCGUAGAUAUCAGGAGGAACACCGGUGGCGAAGGCGCUCAUCUGGCCCAAUACUGACGCUGAGGCGCGAAAGCUAGGGGAGCAAACGGGAUUAGAUACCCCCGUAGUCC